GACGAACGCUGGCGGCGUGCCUAACACAUGCAAGUCGAACGGAGAUAGUUAAUGAAGCUUGCGAUUUAGCUAUCUUAGUGGCGAACGGGUGAGUAACGCGUGGGUAACCUGCCCUUAAGACCGGGACAACAGCUGGAAACGGCUGCUAAUACCGGAUGUAUUGUCCGAGAGGCAUCUCUUGGAGAAGAAAGCUGGCCUCUGAAAAUGCUAGCGCUUAGGGAUGGACCCGCGUCUGAUUAGCUAGUUGGUGGGGUAGAGGCCUACCAAGGCGACGAUCAGUAGCCGGCCUGAGAGGGUAAACGGCCACACUGGGACUGAGACACGGCCCAGACUCCUACGGGAGGCAGCAGUGGGGAAUCUUCCGCAAUGGACGAAAGUCUGACGGAGCAACGCCGCGUGUAUGAAGAAGGCCUUCGGGUUGUAAAAUACUGUUGUUAGGGAAGAACGGCAUCUGUGUAAAUAAUGCAGGUGAUUGACGGUACCUAACGAGGAAGCCCCGGCUAACUACGUGCCAGCAGCCGCGGUAAUACGUAGGGGGCAAGCGUUGUCCGGAAUCAUUGGGCGUAAAGGGCGCGUAGGCGGCUAUAUAAGUCUGAUGUGAAAGUGCGGAGCUUAACU
rnacentral:rRNA from 1 species